rnacentral:rRNA from 1 species
GGAUGAACGCUGCGGCGUGCCUAACACACUGCAAGUCGAACGAAGCGAUACGACCACCGGGAAGGACCUCCGGGCGGGAAGAGGGGUAGUGACUGAGUGGCGGACGGGUGAGUAACGCGUGGGCGAACCUGCCCUGUACCGGGGGACGUAACACCCAGAAAUGGGUGCUAAUACCGCAUAAGCGCACAGUGCCGCAUGGCACGGUGUGAAAAACUCCGGUGGUACAGGAUGGGCCCGCGUCUGAUUAGCUAGUUGGCAGGGUAACGGCCUACCAAGGCAGCGAUCAGUAGCCGGCUUGAGAGAGUGACCGGCCACAUUGGGACUGAGACAUGGCCCAAACUCCUACGGGAGGCAGCAGUGGGGAAUAUUGCACAAUGGGGGAAACCCUGAUGCAGCGACGCCGCGUGAGUGAAGAAGUAUUUCGGUAUGUAAAGCUCUAUCAGCAGGGAAGAAGAUGACGGUACCUGACUAAGAAGCCCCGGCUAACUACGUG